CAAUAGCGUAUAUUAAAGUUGUUGCGGUUAAAAAGCUCGUAGUUGGAUUUGUGGCGUACGGUGUGUUCCGGGCACUUGUUGUCUGAGUAACCUGCUGUUGCCAUCCUUGGGUGGAACCUGUGUGGCAUUAGGUUGUCGUGCAGGGGAUGCCCAUCAUUUACUGUGAAAAAAUUAGAGUGUUCAAAGAAGGCUUAUGCCGUUGAAUAAAUUAGCAUGGAAUAAUGAGAUAGGACUUUUUUGCUAUUUUGUUGGUUUGCGCAAGAAGGUAAUGAUUAAUAGGGACAGUUGGGGGUAUUCGUAUUCCAUUGUCAGAGGUGAAAUUCUUGGAUUUUUGGAAGACGAACUACUGCGAAAGCAUUUACCAAGGAUGUUUUCAUUAA
rnacentral:rRNA from 1 species